GAACGCCGUAGCAAUACGGAGUGGCAGACGGGUGAGUAACGCGUGGGAACAUACCCCUCGGUUCGGAAUAACUCAGGGAAACUUGAGCUAAUACCGGAUACGUCCAAGGUUUUAAUCGACCUUGGAGAAAGAUUUAUCGCCGGGGGAUUGGCCCGCGUCUGAUUAGCUUGUUGGUGAGGUAAUGGCUCACCAAGGCGACGACCAGUAGCUGGUCUGAGAGGAUGAUCAGCCACAUUGGGACUGAGACACGGCCCAAACUCCUACGGGAGGCAGCAGUGGGGAAUAUUGGACAAUGGGCGAAAGCCUGAUCCAGCCAUGCCGCGUGAGUGAUGAAGGCCUUAGGGUUGUAAAGCUCUUUUACCCGGGAAGAUAAUGACGGUACCGGGAGAAUAAGCCCCGGCUAACUUCGUGCCAGCAGCCGCGGUAAUACGAAGGGGGCUAGCGUUGUUCGGAAUUACUGGGCGUAAAGCGCACGUAGGCGGAUCCUUAAGUCAGGGGUGAAAUCCCGAGGCUCAACCUCGGAACUGCCUUUGAUACUGGGGAUAUCGAGUCCGGGAGAGGUGAGUGGAACUGCGAGUGUAGAGGUGAAAUUCGUAGAUAUUCGCAAGAACACCAAUGGCGAAGGCGGCUCACUGGCCCGGUACUGACGCUGAGGUGCGAAAGCGUGGGGA
rnacentral:rRNA from 1 species